ACAGAACAGAACUUUCCACAGUAUCCUGAUGUCAAUGCGAGUGUGUUCCCUGCAUUUUCAUUCUGGAAAACCAGCAAAUGAAAUGUACACCUCGCAUCCGGAUUGGGCACCAUCACUACACUUGGGCCACACUGAGAUAAAGGCCACACAGACUGCACGCUAUGAGAGACAGGAAAAGAGAAAACGGCAAAGGACUGACAGUACACCUGCGAGGAUGAGACAGCUAUUGAUGACCUUGUUCCGCCCGUGGAGACACCAGCACCAGCUGAGGAUGGAGCUGAGCAGACACCGCUGACAGAAUGUGACUUCUGUCAGCGCCGGCGUGCUGAAAUCAACCGGCUGCUGGAGGAGAACAGGACCCUGAAACGUCUUGCACUCUCAGCGCAUUAAUGAGACUCCCCUGAAGCCAUGGGUCAUCAUUGCUGACGAUGGGCAGGUUUGCUGUGCACACUGUACAUGCAUGGCUGGAAUUGCAGAGGCAUGUACACAAG